CAGUGCAGUAGCACGAUCUCAGCUCACUGCAACCUCUGCCUCCCGGUUUCAAGCGGUUCUCCUGCCUCAGCCUUCCAAGUAGCUGGGAUUACAGGUGCCCGCCACCAUGCCUGGCUAAUUUUUGUAUUUUUUAGUAGAAACAGGGUUUCACCAUGUUGGCCAUGCUGGUCUUGAACUCCUGACCUCAGGCAAUCUACCCGCCUCGGCCUCCCAAAGUGCUGGGAUUAUAGGCAUGAGCCACCGUGCCCAGCCAAAGCAAAGGAUUUUUGGUUUCCAGCAGUGGAGGUGGAUGGCACUGAGCCAGCUAUAAGAAACGCCAUCUCAACAAGAAGAUGUCUUUCUGCAAACCAGGAAAAGAGCCCUCACCAGCCAUCAGAUCUGCUGGCACCUUGAACUUGGACUUCCCAGCCUCCAGGACUGU
rnacentral:lncRNA from 1 species